AACUCGGGCCUGAGAGCACGUAGCGCGGGCACGAACGCGGCUCCGGCUCAGCCGGGAAGCGACCGCUUUGCGCCUGCGCGGCCGCCUUAGCUCUUCGGCCGAAUUCGACUCUGAGUGAGAUUGAGAAUCAUUUAUGGAGGAAGAAAAGGACAACUCUGCUGCAUUAGAAAACAGAUUUACAUCGGACCCAGUCAGCACAUUUGGACUUCCUCCAGCACGGCCCAGCCACACAAUUAUGAGGGGAGAGAUGGAAGGGCAAUGGGGGUUAAAUGACUUGCCCAGGGUCACACAGCUAGUAAGUGUCAAGUG